GUCUAUGUCCAUACCACCCUGAACAUGUCUGAUCUUGUCUGAUGUCGGAAGCUAAGCAGGGUCGGGCCUGGUUAGUACUUGGAUGGGAGAAAUUAUUCCAUCGCUAAAACAACAGAAUACACAUUCU
rfam:Erinaceus europaeus unplaced genomic scaffold scaffold00339, whole genome shotgun sequence